rnacentral:rRNA from 1 species
AGUGAACGCUGGCGGUAGACCUAACACAUGCAAGUCGAACGGCAGCACAGUAAGAGCUUGCUCUUACGGGUGGCGAGUGGCGGACGGGUGAGGAAUACAUCGGAAUCUACUUUUUCGUGGGGGAUAACGUAGGGAAACUUACGCUAAUACCGCAUACGACCUACGGGUGAAAGCAGGGGAUCUUCGGACCUUGCGCGAUUGAAUGAGCCGAUGUCGGAUUAGCUAGUUGGCGGGGUAAAGGCCCACCAAGGCGACGAUCCGUAGCUGGUCUGAGAGGAUGAUCAGCCACACUGGAAAUGGGGCAAGGUCCCAAAUCCCAAGGGAGGCAGCAGUGGGGAAUAUUGGACAAUGGGCGCAAGCCUGAUCCAGCCAUACCGCGUGGGUGAAGAAGGCCUUCGGGUUGUAAAGCCCUUUUGUUGGGAAAGAAAAGCAGCAGGUUAAUACCCCGCUGUUCUGACGGUACCCAAAGAAUAAGCACCGGCUAACUUCGUG